GAUGAAGAACGCAGCGAAAUGCGAUAAGUAAGGUGAAUUGCAGAAUCCAGUGAAUCAUCGAAUCUUUGAACGCACAUUGCGCCCGCCAGCAUUCUGGCGGGCAUGCCUGUUCGAGCGUCAUUUCAACCCUCGACCUCCCUUUGGGGAAGUCGGCGUUGGGGACCGGCAGCACACCGCCGGCCCUGAAAUGGAGUGGCGGCCCGUCCGCGGCGACCUCUGCGUAGUAAUCCAACUCGCACCGGAACCCCGACGCGGCCACGCCGUAAAACACCCAACUUCUGAACGUUGACCUCGAAUCAGGUAGGACUACCCGCUGAACUUAAGCAUAUCAAUAAGCGGAGGA
rnacentral:misc_RNA from 1 species